rnacentral:rRNA from 1 species
UGCGAGCGUUAAUCGGAAUUACUGGGCGUAAAGCGCAUGCAGGUGGUUCAUUAAGUCAGAUGUGAAAGCCCGGGGCUCAACCUCGGAACUGCAUUUGAAACUGGUGAACUAGAGUGCUGUAGAGGGGGGUAGAAUUUCAGGUGUAGCGGUGAAAUGCGUAGAGAUCUGAAGGAAUACCAGUGGCGACAGGCGGCCCCCUGGACAGACACUGACACUCAGAUGCGAAAGCGUGGGGAGCAAACAGGAUUAGAUACCCUGGUAGUCACGCCGUAAACGAUGUCUACUUGGAGGUUGUGGCCUUGAGCCGUGGCUUUCGGAGCUAACGCGUUAAGUAGACCGCCUGGGGAGUACGGUCGCAAGAUUAAAACUCAAAUGAAUUGACGGGGGCCCGCACAAGCGGUGGAGCAUGUGGUUUAAUUCGAUGCAACGCGAAGAACCUUACCUACUCUUGACAUCCAGAGAAGCCAGCGGAGACGCAGGUGUGCCUUCGGGAACUCUGAGACAGGUGCUGCAUGGCUGUCGUCAGCUCGUGUUGUGAAAUGUUGGGUUAAGUCCCGCAACGAGCGCAACCCUUAUCCUUGUUUGCCAGCGAGUAAUGUCGGGAACUCCAGGGAGACUGCCGGUGAUAAACCGUUGGAAGGUGGGGACGACGUCAAGUCAUCAUGGCCCUUACGAGUAGGGCUACACACGUGCUACAAUGGCGCAUACAGAGGGCAGCAAGCUAGCGAUAGUGAGCGAAUCCCAAAAAGUGCGUCGUAGUCCGGAUUGGAGUCUGCAACUCGACUCCAUGAAGUCGGAAUCGCUAGUAAUCGUGAAUCAGAAUGUAACGGUGAAUCCGUUCCCGGCCCUU